AACGCGAAGAACCUUACCUGGGCUCGAAAUGUAGUGGACUGGGGUAGAAAUAUCCCUUCCUAGCAAUAGGUCGCUAUAUAGGUGCUGCAUGGCUGUCGUCAGCUCGUGUCGUGAGAUGUUGGGUUAAGUCCCGCAACGAGCGCAACCCUUAUCCCUAGUUGCCAUCGGGUCAAGCCGGGCACUCUAGUGAAACUGCCUGGGAUAACCAGGAGGAAGGUGGGGAUGACGUCAAGUCUUCAUGGCCUUUAUGUCCAGGGCUACACACGUGCUACAAUGGUCGGUACAAACCGUCGCAAACCCGUGAGGGGGAGCUAAUCGGAAAAAGCCGACCUCAGUUCGGAUUGGAGUCUGCAACUCGACUCCAUGAAGCUGGAAUCGCUAGUAAUCGCGGAUCAGAACGCCGCGGUGAAUACGUUCCCGGGCCUUGUACACACCGACUGUAC
rnacentral:rRNA from 1 species